rnacentral:rRNA from 1 species
UUAAAUUGAAGAGUUUGAUCAUGGCUCAGAUUGAACGCUGGCGGCAGGCCUAACACAUGCAAGUCGAACGGUAACAGGAAGAAGCUUGCUUCUUUGCUGACGAGUGGCGGACGGGUGAGUAAUGUCUGGGAAACUGCCUGAUGGAGGGGGAUAACUACUGGAAACGGUAGCUAAUACCGCAUAACGUCGCAAGACCAAAGAGGGGGACCUUCGGGCCUCUUGCCAUCGGAUGUGCCCAGAUGGGAUUAGCUAGUAGGUGGGGUAACGGCUCACCUAGGCGACGAUCCCUAGCUGGUCUGAGAGGAUGACCAGCCACACUGGAACUGAGACACGGUCCAGACUCCUACGGGAGGCAGCAGUGGGGAAUAUUGCACAAUGGGCGCAAGCCUGAUGCAGCCAUGCCGCGUGUAUGAAGAAGGCCUUCGGGUUGUAAAGUACUUUCAGCGGGGAGGAAGGGAGUAAAGUUAAUACCUUUGCUCAUUGACGUUACCCGCAGAAGAAGCACCGGCUAACUCCGUGCCAGCAGCCGCGGUAAUACGGAGGGUGCAAGCGUUAAUCGGAAUUACUGGGCGUAAAGCGCACGCAGGCGGUUUGUUAAGUCAGAUGUGAAAUCCCCGGGCUCAACCUGGGAACUGCAUCUGAUACUGGCAAGCUUGAGUCUCGUAGAGGGGGGUAGAAUUCCAGGUGUAGCGGUGAAAUGCGUAGAGAUCUGGAGGAAUACCGGUGGCGAAGGCGGCCCCCUGGACGAAGACUGACGCUCAGGUGCGAAAGCGUGGGGAGCAAACAGGAUUAGAUACCCUGGUAGUCCACGCCGUAAACGAUGUCGACUUGGAGGUUGUGCCCUUGAGGCGUGGCUUCCGGAGCUAACGCGUUAAGUCGACCGCCUGGGGAGUACGGCCGCAAGGUUAAAACUCAAAUGAAUUGACGGGGGCCCGCACAAGCGGUGGAGCAUGUGGUUUAAUUCGAUGCAACGCGAAGAACCUUACCUGGUCUUGACAUCCACGGAAGUUUUCAGAGAUGAGAAUGUGCCUUCGGGAACCGUGAGACAGGUGCUGCAUGGCUGUCGUCAGCUCGUGUUGUGAAAUGUUGGGUUAAGUCCCGCAACGAGCGCAACCCUUAUCCUUUGUUGCCAGCGGUCCGGCCGGGAACUCAAAGGAGACUGCCAGUGAUAAACUGGAGGAAGGUGGGGAUGACGUCAAGUCAUCAUGGCCCUUACGACCAGGGCUACACACGUGCUACAAUGGCGCAUACAAAGAGAAGCGACCUCGCGAGAGCAAGCGGACCUCAUAAAGUGCGUCGUAGUCCGGAUUGGAGUCUGCAACUCGACUCCAUGAAGUCGGAAUCGCUAGUAAUCGUGGAUCAGAAUGUCACGGUGAAUACGUUCCCGGGCCUUGUACACACCGCCCGUCACACCAUGGGAGUGGGUUGCAAAAGAAGUAGGUAGCUUAACCUUCGGGAGGGCGCUUACCACUUUGUGAUUCAUGACUGGGGUGAAGUCGUAACAAGGUAACCGUAGGGGAACCUGCGGUUGGAUCACCUCCUUACCUUAAAGAA